UACGAAGGGUGCAAGCGUUACUCGGAAUUACUGGGCGUAAAGCGUGCGUAGGUGGUUUGUUAAGUCUGUUGUGAAAGCCCCGGGCUCAACCUGGGAAUGGCAAUGGAUACUGGCAAGCUAGAGUGCGGUAGAGGGUAGUGGAAUUCCGCGUGUAGCAGUGAAAUGCGCAGAUAUCAGGAAGAACACCCGUGGCGAAGGCGGCUCUCUGGAACGCAACUGACGCUGAGACGCGAAAGCGUGGGGAGCAAACAGG
rnacentral:rRNA from 1 species